AGGACUAUAGCUUGACAUGUUUUUUUACUGGUUUAAUUGGAGACUGUACAUAGGCUACAGAAUUUUCAAGGAAGAUAUAGACCAAUUAAGCUGUGCAUAUACAUGUAUAACUACCGACAUGAAACAUGAUGAUAUUUAACAAUUUUAUAAUAGUAUAAAGUACAGCUUGUGAUCUGACAUACACAUCUAAUUACAAUUAAAAUUCUCGAUAACUAGAAGAAAUUUAACCUAUGAAUAUUUAAAUGAAAAUUCUAUAGAUCUUAAAGCUCAUGGAAAUCAACAGUUCCACUUGUGCAGCUAAUAUAUAUGCUAGAUUUGAAGAAUUUACAAUGCAGUUUAGUUCAUAUACAGUGUAU
rnacentral:sRNA from 1 species